GAUGAACGCUGGCGGCGUGCCUAAUACAUGCAAGUCGAGCGAACGGACGAGAAGCUUGCUUCUCUGAUGUUAGCGGCGGACGGGGGAGUAACACGUGGAAAACCUACUUAUAAGACUGGGAUAACUUCGGGAAACCGGAGCUAAUACGGGAAAAUAUUUUGAACCGCAGGGUUCAAAAGUGAAAGACGUUCUUGCUGUCACUUAUAGAGGGAUCCGCGCUGCUUUAGCUAGUUGGUAAGGUAACGGCUUACCAAGGCAACGAUGCAUAGCCGACCUGAGAGGGUGAUCGGCCACACUGGAACUGAGACACGGUCCAGAAUCCUACGGGAGGCAGCAGUAGGGAAUCUUCCGCAAUGGGCGAAAGCCUGACGGAGCAACGCCGCGUGAGUGAUGAAGGUCUUCGGAUCGUAAAACUCUGUUAUUAGGGAAGAACAUAUGUGUAAGUAACUGUGCACAUCUUGACGGUACCUAAUCAGAAAGCCACGGCUAACUACGUG
rnacentral:rRNA from 1 species